UGAGGGCUGGACCGGAAGUUUGGGUUCUGAACAGGAAGUGAGGGCUGGACCGGAAGUGAAUGCGUAUUCUGACCGGAAGUGGGGUCUGAACCGGAAGUUGGUCCCCGCUGACCGGAAGGAGCCUCCAUCACCGCACAGCGCCAUGGAGAGCGGAGAGCAGAGUGAGGGCACGGCCCUGCGCCACGUCCCUGUGUCCCCAUGUCUCCAUGUCCCCACGUGUCCCCUCCCCACAGGACCCUCCCGUGGCGGUGACACGGAGUUGCCCACCCCACAGCCACCGGGUACAUGCGCGUCCCCUCCGCGUCCCCAGGCUGUCCCGUGUCCCUGCACGUCCCCACGUGUCCCCUCCCCCCCCACACACAGGGGCUCCACAGGUGGAGGCGCUGCUGGGACAGAUCCAUGCUCUGCACCGGGGUGAGCGACGUGGCCCCGUGUCCCUGUGACGUCCCCACCAUGUCCCCGUGUCCCCGCCAUCUCCCCAUGAUGCCCCCAUGUCAUCACCCCAUGUCCCCACAGCAUCCCCACACCUCCGUGUCCCCAUGAUGUCCCCAUCUCCCCCCAUGUCCCCAUGUCCUCAUGAUGUCCCCAUGUCCACACCAUGUCCCCAUCCCCCCCAUGUCCCCAUGCCCCCCCCAUGUCCCCAUCUCACCAUAUACCCCCAUGUCCCCAUGAUGUCCCCAUGUCCCCACCACGUCCCCAUGUCCCCACAGUGCCCCCACACCUCCAUGUCCCCAUGGUGUCCCCGUGUCCCCAUCACGUCCCCAUGUCCCUGUGUCCCCAUCAUGUCCCUAUGUCCCCAUGUCCCCCCCAUCUCCCCAUGUCCUCGUGUCCCCAUGUCCCCAUGAUGUCCCCAUGUCCUCACAGUGUCCCCACAUCUCCAUGUCCCCAUGAUGUCCCCAUGUCCCCCCCGUGUCCCCCUGUCCCCCCCAUGUCCCCAUGUCCCCCUGUCCCCGGUGGCGCUGUGGUGGCGGUGCUGUGCUCAGGCUGCCAGGCUGGGGCGCAGGAGCUGGCACGGACACAGGAGAGGAGCGAGGAGAUGAGACAGCACCUGGAACAGCUGGAGGAGCGGCAGGCGGAGCUGCAGGCGCUGUGGCAGCAGCAGCAGGAGGUGCUGCGCGUGGCACGGUCACGCUGGCAGGAGGUGGAGGCUGAAGGACAAAGGCGCCGCCAGCUGUGCCUGGGGCAGCAGCGCCACCUGGAGGGGGCGGGGGAGAGCAGGGCAAAAAUCAGGGAGCUGCGGCGGGGACACAGGGAGGACUUCGUGCAGCAGCUGGAGACGCUGAUGGACGAGCACAAGCGGCUGCAGCGCCAGCACUCCCCGGUGGCGCUGGUGGCCGCGCUGUCCCAGCUGCAGCUGACACGGGAUGAGCUGCUGAACCAGGGUGAGCACACAUGGCCCCAAAUGUCCCCAGACAGCCAUGCAAUGUCCCCAAAUGUCCCCAAAUAUUCAUAUAAUGUCUCCAAAUGUUCCCAGAUAUCCAUGCAAUGUCCCCAAAUGUCCCCAAAUGUCCCCAGAUAUCCAUGCAAUAUCCCCCCAAUGUCCCCAAAUA
ensembl:lncRNA